GCCGAAGUGGCGGAACUGGCAGACGCGCUAGGUUCAGGGUCUAGUGGGAGCAAUCCUGUGCGGGUUCGAAUCCCGCCUUCGGCACCA
rnacentral:tRNA from 2 species